UCCCUUGUGGCUCAGUUGGUAGAGCAUGGUGUUUGCAACACCAGGGUUGUGGGUUUGAUUCCCACGGGGGAC
rfam:Salmo salar isolate Sally breed double haploid chromosome ssa15, whole genome shotgun sequence.